rnacentral:rRNA from 1 species
GAUGAACGCUAGCGGCAGGCUUAAUACAUGCAAGUCGAGGGACAGCACAGGUAGCAAUACUGGGUGGUAACCGGCAAACGGGUGCGGAACACGUACACAACCUUCCUUUAAGUGGGGGAUAGCCCAGAGAAAUUUGGAUUAAUACCCCGUAAUAUAGUUGAAUGGCAUCAUUUGAUUAUUAUAGCUACGGCGCUUAAUGAUGGGUGUGCGGCUGAUUAGAUAGUUGGCGGGGUAACGGCCCACCAAGUCUACGAUCAGUAGCUGAUGUGAGAGCAUGAUCAGCCACACGGGCACUGAGACACGGGCCUGACUCCUACGGGAGGCAGCAGUAAGGAAUAUUGGUCAAUGGACGCAAGUCUGAACCAGCCAUGCCGCGUGAAGGAUUAAGGUCCUCUGGACUGUAAACUUCUUUUAUUUGGGACGAAAAAGGGCCUUUCUAGGUCAACUGACGGUACCAGAUGGAUAAGCACCGGCUAACUCCGUGCCAGCCGCCGCAGUAAGAC